CAUUGCUAUGUACAUGUACAUGGGAAAUCAGAACUGUCAGAGGAGAUGCAAGCAGGAGGAAGAGGAGGCAAAAGCAAGGAUGGUUUCAAAUGGAAUAAAGGACUUGUGCAGAUCCCUCAAGCUGACAAAAUAUGACUUCCACAUCAAGAAAUGACAAGGAUUUUGCAAUGCCUUGGUCCCUGCACCCUGCCAGUAAUGAUGCCAAGAAGUAUGACAGAGAAGAGGGGAAAACCAGGCCUUCCUACAGAGGUCUACCAGUGACAUGUGCUGGCACUAGAUGUACUAGAUGCAUUAAGGACUCCUGCUACAGAGCUGGUCAGCUAUUAAAAGAAGACAAUUUCUUGCCAGACAAGAGCGCCUCUUUCUUCCCGCCUUCUUACGGACUCAACAACCAGCCAUCUGAUCCUGUCUGGCUUCUGCAUCUUGAAUUCCUGAAAACUUUGGCACUGUGAGUCUGAUUGAAAGUGUCAGGACAGGACAAACAAAGGAAAACUACCUAUAUGCCACAAAUUCUUAAAAAAAUAAAAUAAAAUAAAAAUCUGAAGAUGUAUUGUUC
rnacentral:lncRNA from 1 species